GGAACUGUGGUGUAGCUGGUCUAACACACCGGCCUGUCAAGCCGGAGAUCGCGGGUUCGAGUCCCGUCAGUUCCGCCA
rnacentral:tRNA from 2 species